rnacentral:rRNA from 1 species
UACGUAGGGUGCAAGCGUUGUCCGGAAUUAUUGGGCGUAAAGAGCUCGUAGGCGGUUUGUCGCGUCUGCUGUGAAAACUCGGGGCUUAACUCCGGGCCUGCAGUGGGUACGGGCAGACUAGAGUGCGGUAGGGGAGACUGGAAUUCCUGGUGUAGCGGUGAAAUGCGCAGAUAUCAGGAGGAACACCGAUGGCGAAGGCAGCUCACUGGGACGGUACUGACGCUGAGGCGCGAAAGCGUGGGGAGCAAACAGG